AAACAAAAAAAAAAAGAGAGGGGGAUCUUAUCAAGAUGGUGGGAUAGGUGGACUCUGAACUCGUCUCCUCCCAUGAAUACAACCAGAUUACAACUAUUCUUGGAAAAAUUACCCAGAGAGAGAACUGAAAACUGGAUAAAAAGAACCCCCACAACAAGGGACAGUCCUGACUGAUGCAGAAGAAAAAAAGCCACCUUUGUGAGCCAUGGAGCUUCACAGUGGAUUGGGAGCCACGCUAAGAUCACAAAAAAUGCCAGAAUUUAUCAUCAGAAUGUCAUCUUUGAAUAUACGAAUUCAAAUGGCCCGAUGAGCUCUAUGGAAGGCUCCCAGGUAAGCUAAGUGUUGGGAAUGUGUAGAGGGUGUAAAUUGCUUUGCCCUGGCCCCAGUAGGGCAGGCUCAUAAUGGGUUCUGGGGAACUAUUUGCACAAAGGGCCAGGGAGGUAGUGUGGUAGAAACACACUAUAAGAUCAGAUUGAAAGAAGCAUCAGUUGCUCAAAAAAAACUUGUCCGUCAGCUGUUGCCAAUGGAAAGAGGAGGCGAUGGAAGGCAGAUUGCUCUAUUGGGGCCUCACAAGCUAGCUGCCUUUUCCACAGUGGUGUCUGGCCUCAGCUUUGUACAGCUUAGAGAUGGGAUCCUUCCAGUCUCUCCAGUAGAGGAUCAGCUCUGAGGAUAGCUGCACACAAUAAUGCUGAAGUAUUAUUCAGAGGAGGAGAGUACUUACUAGUUUCCCAAAUAUUUUGUGUUUAUUACCCCAAAGACACUUUCCUUCCUGGGAAGGGAAACUGGAGAUAAUGAGUGAACAUUUAUUAAAAUGUCAACGUGUCAGGUGCUUUACAUUUUAGCAUUUCAUUUGCAGAUGAGGGAACCAAGGCAUGGAGAACAUGCCCAAGUUCCCAAAGCUGGUGAGUGUGAUGAGGGCCCAGCUCCCUCUGGCUCUAGUUGUGCUAACCUUCCCAGGAGAUUGAAUGUGUAUUUUGAAGGCUGCCAAGGAGACUGAGAAAAGGGAAAGGAAUGAUCCUGACAAAAAUGUCACGAAGGCCAUAAGAAUACCGGCACUACACCCAUCUCCCAACAGGGUGGGCCUCUCUGGUAACCAGAAUGAUUUAGGCUGCCAAAUACAGUGUCUCUCUUUUGAGACGUGCUAUAUAAUACUUAAAAUAUCUUUCUCUCUUAUUUUCCCUUGCUAAAGUCUCACAUACAGAUUAAGAAAUCAAUGAAUUUUUACAAAUGGGUACACUUUAUAUUGCUAUGAUCCAGAUGGAGAACAUUAUUAGCAGUACAGUGGCUUCCCUUUUGUUCCCUUGGUCAAAAUCUCACCCCAUCAUCCUGCUCCCCCAAAACCCACUGUUCUGAAUUGUGACACGUAGAUUUGUUUUUGCCUAUUUUAGAGUAUCAUGUAAAUGGAUUAUACAGUAUGGGCUUUUUUGUAUCUGGUUUCUUUCACCCUACACUAGCCUGUGGGAUUCAUCCAUUUUGUUGUAUGUAGUUCUUAAUAUAUAUCUUACAUGCUCUGACAAGAUCUCUUGUAGCCACAUCCAAGCCUCGAGCUGUCUGUUUGCACAUAUUUGAUUAAAUUAUACAUAUCUGUGGUUAUAGUGCAGUCCCAAGGACACUCUCUGGACACACAGAUUGACUCCAAGUAUACCUCAUAUUCACAUCAGCUGGAUAUCUAGGCACCAUUUCUUAGGGUGCACAAUAUCUUCAGAUGUUUUACUUACUAUGUACUUAAUGUUAUCCCUCUCAAUAGCAAUUUUUUUCCUCCAAGGAAUUGCCUUUUACCAGCCAUAGCUCUCUCUUUUAAAAAAUGCUUUACUUUUUUUGUAAAUGCAUGGCCAGAUAGAAACAAGUUCUUUUGAGAAGGAGGUUUUACUAAAUAUCGUUUUUUCUAAUGCAGAGAGUUUCUGUGGCUUGUUAGGGAGGUCUUGUAAUAAUGAUAAAUGGUUGCCAGGUUAUUGUUCAUAUGAUGCCGAGGUGUAGAGAGAUAGAGCUGUUUACACUCUAAUUACCCCAUGCUCUCAUCUGAAAUGUCACUCCUACCACUCUCUGUUCCUUCUCCCGAUCUUAGCCAUCAAACUCCAGCCCUCCCCACAAAUAGAUGGAAGGAUGGCCAGUUUUCAGUGAUUCCCAGGCACAUCCUCCACCCAUCCUCCCCUCCUCUCUUUAAAAAAUAUUUCCUGACCCUCACUUGUAUCAGUUGACAAUUGAUUUCUUUUACCAGAGCCAGCAGCCAGCACUGCUUACCACCUUUUGCCUUCUCUCUUACCCUACUCCUCUCUCUGUUUCCAUCCUUUCUUUCUUGUUAUGUCUGGGGAAAAAAGUAAGAAGUUGGAAUCUUU
ensembl:lncRNA